UUAAUUACGCUUUAGGAAGACUCAGGAGCACCAGCAAUGAGACUAGGACGGCUGCUUGCAGUGACCGUGGGAGGAAUAGACUUUGAUGGAGAACGGGUGGCAAUUGGAUUGAAGAUAGUUUGUUUUUGUUCGUGGAUAGCGGAAAACCUACCGAAAAGCGAUACCCAAGUUCAAUGUUGCAGAAAUUGCUGCGAAACAAAUGAUAACGAAAAUCUGAACGACGAAAGUUUUAAGCAUACACAUAAAAAUAAAAAAGCGACGCAAUGAUAUCGUACUUACUCGAAUGUUUGUUUUCCUUUUAUGUUAUUUACAUAAUAUAUAAAUAAUUCGGUC